rnacentral:rRNA from 1 species
AUGUGGAGGAAAGUAGGGGAAAUGGCCGAUACUACUGGAAGAAUUCCUCUUUGGCUGAUAAGUACUGUAGCCGGUAUUGCUGUGAUUGGUUUAGUAGGUGCGAAAUGA